AUUCUAGGGGUGACGGGCUUUUAUGACAACGCUGACUCACUCAAGAGGGGUGGCAGUGCAAGAUCCUUCACUGCCUUUGAGUAGAAAAGACUGGAGCUCAUCCAGGAAGUUAAAUAUUUGGCGAAGUAACUGUGGCGGCAGGGCUCUCCGACCAAGGUCUAGCACACCCUCUUCCAAGAGUUCCCAGACCUCACUGAAAGUCCACCUGGGAAUGCCAGAGGACAGUAUCAUCAGCAGUGUCCAGGAGCAACUGUCAAAAUCUGACCAAAUGGUGGCUGCAGGACAGCUUUCACAAAUAGAUAAAGUGGUUGGAACUAUGCUGGAGAACAUUGAGAAGAUAAGCAGCGAAUGUGGCGAGGAAUUGGUCUAUCAAGAGUCACUGCGGUCUUCCUCCUCGUUGUCAUUCUCAACUGCCAAAUCACAGAAGACAGAGUGGGAAUUUGCACUCCCAUUCCUUCUGAGUUACCCGAGAGUACUGCUCAGCCCAUUGUAAGAUGCUCAGUCAUUGACAUGAGCGAAUCUACUAAGCCAA